UGGUACUAGUAUUUGAUUUGUAGAUUUUUAACAUCAGAAACAUUUGCUGACAGAUUUCAUAAAUUUGCAGUGGAGUGGAACGAGCAAGAAAUCAGGUUUGAAGUAGAUGGUAAAGAGAUUUUAAAAGUCCAUCCAAAUGAAAGAGGUUUUUGGAAAAUUGGAGAAUUCAACAAAACAUACGGAUUGACAAAUCCAUGGCAACAAACUUGUGGUGGCUCGAAAAUGGCACCGUUGGACCAAGAGUUUUAUUUAGUGUUAGACGUAGGUGUGGGUGGAUAUCCACAUUUUAAGGACGAAUGGUUGAACUAUCCGUAUCCAAAACCUUGGCAGGAUAGGUCAGACUACGCGACAAGAGAUUUCUGGAGUGCAAAAGAUGUUUGGUAUCCAACGUGGAAUCAGAAUCGAGAUUUUGAUGGUGAUGAAGAGACAGCCAUGAAAAUUAACUAUGUUAAAGUUUGGAAGAUGAAACCUCAACAUGCAAACAUUUAUUUGAAUGUAUCUUCUAUGACAACACUUUAUAGAUUACUCUUUAUAAAAUAAUAAUUAUAAAUAUAGGGACUUUCAACUUCAUUAGUAAAUAUAAAAUGAAACUUUCAUGUAAAUAUGAUGUAAAUGCAUUGCAUGUAGUCUUACUCAAAUAACUUUUAUAUACUGAUUUUCCUUCUGUCAUGAGUACUUAAAAGUGUCGCGUGCCUCGUUAGUUUAGAAAAUUUGAAAACGUUUUACGCACGUUGGGCAAUGUAGAUGUAUAUAACUUUGUGUGUACUAUAUAUAAAGGUUAUAGAAAUA